CAGGAAGAGUCGGUCAGUGUGAUGCUGGGACCCUGAGAAACAGCAAGAGCCUGAUAAUGUCUUCUUUAGUUUAUUUAUUAUAUUACAGCGAAUAAAGAAAGGCGCUCGGUUAAAGAUAUAGGACGGAAUUAAUCCUGUCUUGUGAGGACUGAAGAAACUAAACAAAAAAAAAAAAAAAAAACAACAACAAAACAAACCCGAGCUGAAUAAUAAACACCCAGCUGGUUGUGUGGAUACGUUAAAGACCAUCAAUGUUUUUUCCGUUAUUUUCCUUUAACGGACUGUAAUCGGUAUCUAUUCUGUUUCUGUGACACUGAUACGUUACUGCACGUUUAAAUCUAACGAGCGUUGAAGCUUUAAAAAUGAUCUUUAACAUCGCACAACGAUUCUGUCCGCUUUAUUGUGACCUUUGGACGGUCUGAAUCCUGCUAUGGGCUUCACACUGACCCUGAGCUCCAGAGUCACAGACCACCUCCUCCGACACCAUGUAGAAGUCCGUGUUUGUCGACUGGUUAGCGAAGGGAACACAAAGCAGCGGUUAGCUCAAUGCUAACUGGGUCAGAAAAAUGACAGCUUAGGCCACUAGCCUUCAACUCCCCAUCUAUUAUUACUGCAUUCUGCUGUUAGCUAACGCCUGCUCGCUUCAAUACACCACAAAGGUCCUCCUGGUCCAUUUGCUCUGUAUUAUCCACACACUUUGGACAGAAAUAUGGAGACGGUUGGAGACUUCGAGUACAGCCGAAAAGACCUGAUAGGACACGGAGCCUUCGCGGUCGUUUUCAAGGGAAGACAUAAAAAGAAGACAGAGUGGGAGGUGGCCAUCAAGAGCAUUAACAAAAAGAACCUCUCCAAGUCUCAGAUUUUGCUUGGGAAGGAGAUAAAAAUUUUGAAGGAGCUGCAGCAUGAGAACAUUGUGGCGCUUUAUGAUGUCCAGGAAACACCAAAUUUUGUUUUCCUUGUAAUGGAGUUUUGUAACGGAGGAGAUCUGGCAGACUAUUUACAAGCUAAGGGCACUUUGCGGGAGGACACACUGAGGGUCUUCCUCCAGCAGAUCGCAGCAGCCAUGCGUGUUCUCAACAACAAGGGUAUCAUCCACCGUGACCUCAAACCCCAGAACAUUCUCCUGUCCUACACUAGCCGCAAGAAAUCCAGUGUCAGUGGCAUUCGAAUUAAAAUUGCUGACUUUGGCUUUGCACGAUAUCUUCAAAGUAACAUGAUGGCAGCUACUCUGUGUGGUUCACCUAUGUACAUGGCUCCAGAAGUAAUAAUGUCCCAGAACUAUGAUGCCAAAGCAGACCUGUGGAGCAUCGGGACUGUUAUUUAUCAGUGUCUCGUCGGGAAGCCACCUUUUCAGGCGAACAGCCCACAAGACCUGAGGAUGUUCUAUGAGAAAAAUAAGACACUGGUGCCAAACAUCCCAAGGGAAACAUCUCCCCCCCUUGCUGAACUACUGUUGGGUUUACUACAGAGGAAUCAGAAGGACCGAAUGGAUUUUGACACAUUCUUCAGCCAUCCCUUCUUGGAGCAAACAUCAAACAUCAAAAAAUCUUGCCCUGUGCCAGUUCCUGCAUGCCCUAGCUCCGUAUUGGAGAGCACUUGUGGCAGCUCGCCCUCCUGCCGUUAUGCCUCACCUCCGUCGUUGCCAGACAUGCAGACCCUGCCUGAAGACGUGCUUUCCUCUCCACCUCUCGGCCCUCCCAACUACCUACAGCUGUCUAAAGAGUCGGGUGGCAGCACCAGCAGCAAGAACUCCUCUUGUGAUACAGAUGACUUUGUGCUGGUGCCUCACCUGUCUGGAGAACAGUCCUAUGACAUGCCAAUGGGGGCCAUUGGUCGUAGACCAUCCAGUGAGUUUCUGCUGUGUGGAGGGCAACCCUCAACAGGCCAGAACCCUGUGGUGUCACCUCGAACUGAGACCACUCCUAUACCUGUGCCCACUCAGGUGCGCAACUACCAGCGGAUCAAGCAGAACCUCUCCAGCAGCCCGAGCACCACUCUCUAUGGUUCACCAAGGUCUGGUACAGUAAGGCGUUCUAACACCAGCCCUAUGGGAUUUCCAAAAACUGCCUCUGGAUCCCCCAGCCCUGCUGAUGCUGCCCAGACUGUGGGUCGAAGACUCUCCACUGGUAGCUCUCGCCCCUAUUCACCUUCUCCACUGGUGGCUACUAUUCCUGAACAGCUGGGUCACUGUUGUUGUGGACAUCCCCACAGCCAUGAGGCACGCAGCCGCAGCUCAUCUGGUGGUUCCCCUGUGCCCACGUCUCAAUUGCUGGGUGCCCGACUCCAGAGCGCACCCACCCUGACCGAUUUCUACCAAAACAAGCAGAAGCUGCACAAGCAGCUCUCCGAUCCUCUUCAGCCUACUGCCAUAGCCUAUGCCCCAACACACUCACCACAGCUGGGACGCCCUGGCAACCUGGGGACAUCUCCCACCAAGCAUCUUGGUUCCUCUCCCCGCACAUCUGAUUGGCUACAGAAAUCCCCCCUCCCCACUAUCAUUGGUUCACCAACUAAGACAACUGCUCCCUUUAAAAUCCCUAAAACUCAGGCCUCAUGCAACCUCAUGGCCUUGGCUUCGCAACAGGGCAUAGUGGACAGCCCCAAUUCCAGUAAGAUGUCUACUGAUGCCCGGGAGAUUUGCCCCCAUCACUGGUCACCGUACCCCAGCGGGAGACACUCGGCUUCAGAAAGUUCCAAAACAACUUUUGGCAGGUCUGUGAGUACAGGGCGUUUGUCAGAGCAGCCGGUAAGAAUCGCUCUGGGAGGACAGACAUACCAAGGCAGUACAGACAGCCUCAACACAGAGAGACCCAUGGACACAGCCCCUGCAGGGUCAUGUGGUUUGGCAGUGGGGGGUUCGAGUCCUCGUACUGUAGUGUUCACAGUAGGCUCGCCCCCCAACAGCAGCACCCCUCCCGCUUGCAGUCACCUGAGCACACGCCCUCGCACCACAUCAGUGGGGUCCAACAGUUCAGCAGGCUCUGUGUAUUCCACCAGUGGAAAGGUAUGCAUGGGCUCUCCUCCUGCUAUGGCCAUGGGUAGUUCUCCCCCUGGGGCGGAAGCAGCCCCUAGCAGCCUACGCUAUGUCCCCUACGGCACCUCUCCACCAAGCCUUGAUGGGUUUAUCACUUUUGAGGCCCCUGAGCUCCCAGAGGAGACGCUGAUGGAGAGAGAACACACAGACACCUUAAUGCAUCUACGGAUGAUGCUGUCCUUUACGGACUGUGUGUUGGAGAUGGCUGCUGUGAGAGCAGGAGGAGCAGACCUUGGCAUUUCUGCAGCCUCGCUUUAUCCUCCACAGGAGAGUGUGGUGGUGGACCAGAUUAGCCAGCUCAGCAAGGAGUGGGGGCAAGUAGAGCAGCUGGUGUUGUACAUGAAGGCUGCUCAGCUGCUCGCAUCCUCACUGCACCUGGCCAAAGCUCAGAUCAAAUCUGCCAAGCUGAACCCCUCCACUGCUGUAAAACAAGUGGUUAAAAGCCUGAACGAGCGCUAUAAGAGCUGCAUCUCCCUGUGCCGCCAGCUCACGGACAAACUGAACCACUUCUUCUCAGACAAGCAGCGCUUUGUGGACGAGAUCAACAGUGUGACUGCUGAGAAGCUCAUAUACAACCAUGCUGUGGAGAUGGUCCAGUCGGCAGCGCUGGACGAAAUGUUCCAGCAGACAGAGGACAUUGCGUACCGCUAUAACAAAGCUGCUAUGCUGUUGGAAGGCCUCACUAAGAUCCUUCAUGAUCCGGCAGAUGUAGAGAACGUCACCAAGUACAAGGCGAGCGUGGAUCGGAGAAUCUCUGCGCUGUGUUACUGCACUGUCACAUUGUAUGAAUAGACCUCACACACACACGCACACACACCACUGGCCACAGGGACCAUCCUCCUUCCAGCUCACUCAGACUAGAGGAUCCCCUCACUCCUACUUCUCCAACUUCGUAGCAGCCAGAGCACUUUUCCUUUUUUAUUCUUCUUUUUCAUGAAAUCACCUGAACCAACAGAACAAGUAUUAUUUUUUCCUAUAGGACCUCUUCCACCGAAUCACUACCAAAGAUAAGCCGCAACAACAAUACACAUUCUGUUCUGAAGACAGAGGCUCUGGACUCAGUGAGCCGUUUCCUGUUCGUUUCCGCAGUUCUGCUCAGAACACCUCUUUUAGCUUUUCCCUCUUUUUACACUGAGAUCUGAUCUUUUUUUAAUGACUUUUUUAAAAUAUCGUAUUCUGUGAUGGUGUUGCAGUUAUUUAUUGGUUUUAAGAGGAUGUUAGUGUUAUGUUAUGAUCGGAUUCUCUUCGCGAGUCAGACUUGCGUUGGACUACGCUAGCACACACACGCACACGUGUUUUACUCAGCUGUCUUUAGCACGGCAGCCUGACAUUUGUAACAUAAUCUUUUUUCUUUCUUUUUUUUUUUCUUUUAAAAUCAAAUGCACUUUAUUGACACAGACAUGGAAAAGACUUGUGCUAGAACCCACAUUGAGCUAUUCUCUUUGGCUUGACUUGCUGCCUGGCUCACAAGACUGUAAAAAGAAAUUCAGACGCUUGUCAUGUGCAGGGAUGACAGUUUUCUCUGUGGUCACGAUCAGUCGUGACGUUCAUCAAAAAUAACAGACAAGAUACUUGAGUGGUUGUAGGAGUUGUCAUGGGAUUCCCUGCCACUCAAUCCAAGAGCACAAGUCAUUUUUUUUAGCAGUUUGAUACUUACCCACUACUGCCAUUCAGACUCUUAUGCAGCCCUCAAGGAAGAGACCUCAUGUUUGUCUUUGCACGGCAGCUCACAAUUCAAAGACCUGCGCUCUAUGAAGUACGUUCCUUUUGGAGUGCAGAGUCGGAUAUGGAUACGAAGCAGAAAUGCUAAUGUGAACUGUUUCUGCCGAGCAGUACGCAGCCAAGCUGGCUCAGCCUUUCCCUGGCUCUGUGUGUGUGAGAGAGAGAGAGAGAGAGUGAGAGAGAGUGAUAUUGUAUAUAUGCGUGUAUGUAUGAAACUGUAUGUAUGUGUACUGUAUAUAUAUAUAUGUGUGUGUGUGUGUGUGUGUUUGUUUGAGAGUGUAUGCAUGUGUGCGCGUGCACUUAAAGGCCAGUUUAAAAAAACUGAACUGAAAGCACUGCAAAAGCAGCCUGCUUUCACCUGUACAUGUGUUAAUAAGAACUUCCCGGUGUUCUAGAUCUACACUGGCACUGAUGCUGUCUCCAGUGUGUUCUUCUUUGUUAUCAUUUUGUGGUUAUUUUAUUCUCAGACUUUAUCUUCACAAAUCUUUUAUAGUACAGGCAGGAAAAAAAAAUGCCAGAAACAUAUUCUCCUGUUUUCUUUUAUGUCCUAUCGAAUCUGCUCACAGUUCUGUAGCCUGUAGACAAGCACAGGACGUUUCUUAGAAGUGACCGGUGUACAGAGCAGGUCAUAGUCAUGAAUGGGUAGAAUGUAGAUUCACUUGAAUUCUUGAAGUAAAUAACAUUCUGAUAUGUCUAGUGCAAUGCAAACCUUAAAGCUUCUGUAGGUUGUUUUAUUUUAUUUUUUUUAUACUGACAAUAUUGUAAUCCGUUCACCACCAACACCUCUGCUCCAUGUGGACUCAAAACUGUGGUUUAUCAGAGCCACCUGCUCGCUUUAUGCAUUGUAUCAUGUUCAUUUGUCAUCUUGCAUGGACAUAAAUAUAGAUUUUAUAACUUGGAACUUGUUACAGGGCAACCAAUAAGAACAGUAGUUCAACCCAACAUACAAAUAAAAUCAUUUCUAUAUAAUUCUAA